rnacentral:rRNA from 1 species
CUCCUAGUACGAGAGGACCGGAGUGGACGCAUCACUGGUGUUCGGGUUGUCAUGCCAAUGGCACUGCCCGGUAGCUAAAUGCGGAAGAGAUAAGUGCUGAAAGCAUCUAAGCACGAAACUUGCCCCGAGAUGAGUUCUCCCUGAGACUUWRAGUCUCCUGAAGGAACGUUGAAGACGACGACGUUGAUAGGCCGGGUGUGUAAGCGCAGCGAUGCGUUGAGCUAACCGGUACUAAUGAACCGUGAGGCUUAACCUU